GCGUCCUACGGGAGGCAGCAGUGGGGAAUAUUGCACAAUGGGGGAAACCCUGAUGCAGCAACGCCGCGUGAGUGAAGAAGUAUUUCGGUAUGUAAAGCUCUAUCAGCAGGGAAGAAGAUGACGGUACCUGAGUAAGAAGCCCCGGCUAACUACGUGCCAGCAGCCGCGGUAAUACGUAGGGGGCAAGCGUUAUCCGGAUUUACUGGGUGUAAAGGGAGCGUAGACGGUGAGACAAGUCUGAAGUGAAAGCCCG
rnacentral:rRNA from 1 species